rnacentral:tRNA from 3 species
GGCCCUAUCGACUAUCGGUUAGGUCGUCAGGUUUUCAUCCUGGAAAGUCGGGUUCGAUUCCCGGUGGGGCUA